GAAAUGUGAAUGACGGCCAUGAGAAUAAUCUAAAUGUACAUCCACCACAUGGUCAAAUAUUACUGAACUGGUGGUCCAAACCUCCGCAGGAUGCCUUUAAGCAGUCAGGAUCUGUCUGUGGAACAGUUUCAAGGUUCAUUUGUUUGGAUCACCUGGAGAGUUUCCCUCCUGCAGGGUUUUCCUCUCUAUCAGCAGUGCUUCCAUCUGUGCAGCCCGUCCAGUUUUCCCACCAGAGGAGGAGACAUUUCAGGGGUGGUUAAUCAUUUUUGAUCUAUUCACACUGCAGCACAGACUCUACUCUCACCUUUCCAUGUUUUAGACAUGCUGUGCUGGAUUCCCUGCUUCUUUCUGGGCUUUUUAUUUUGGGGCUCAGCUCAUGGGGUUCCCCAGACAAACGCCCGCCCUGACGUCACAGACCAGGAGCUGUUCUGGGGUUCUGACCAGUACGACUUUGCUAUAGUGCUUCCUGCUGCUGGGUUGGAGUGUUUCUGGCACUUUGCUCACCAUGGAGAGAGAUUUUACUUGAACUUCAUGCUCAGCAUUUAACAGCAUCAUCCCCUCAAAACUUGCCUGGGAGCUUGUUGACCUUGGGCUGGGAACAUCUAUCUGCAGAUGGAUUCUCUGCUUCCUCACAAACAGGCCCCAGGUGGUGAGAGUUGGUAAGCACACUUCCUCAUCACUCAUUUUAAACACAGGAACGCCACAGGGAUGUGUGCUUAGCCCCCUCCUAUGUUCCCUGUUCACACACCCCACACUUCACAGGAUGCACACAGAAGCUGUCCUGCAGUUUCUCAAGUAAACUCUGCACCGUGCAUUUCAUUUUUAGUAUUAUAAAAAUGAAAAUAAAAACUCUACUGUACUAACUGCCA